rnacentral:rRNA from 1 species
UACGUAGGUGGCAAGCGUUACUCGGAAUUACUGGGCGUAAAGCGUGCGUAGGUGGUUUUUUAAGUCCGUUGUGAAAGCCCUGGGCUCAACCUGGGAAUGGCAGUGGAUACUGGAAAGCUAGAGUGCGGUAGAGGGUAGUAGAAUUCCCGGUGUAGCAGUGAAAUGCGUAGAGAUCGGGAGGAACACCAGUGGCGAAGGCGGCUACCUGGACCAGCACUGACACUGAGGCACGAAAGCGUGGGGAGCAAACAGG